UCAAAAAAAAAAAUUUUAGGGUUUGUUAUAUUUACUCAAAUUAGGGAUUUCCAAAUUUUUGAUCAUAUUGUUUCCAAUUGGUUUGAAUAGGUGAAGAAGAAGGAAGAUUUGCAAGAGAUUUCAACUCUGAUUUAGAGGCUACCCAAAUCAGACAUCCUCCAGAUCGUGCGGGAUAGUGUUUUGUUGGGUUGUGCCACGGUGUAGCAUCUUUUGUGGAUGUUUUCAUUUGCACGCAUCUAUAUAAAUUUUUUGUUGUUUUUUUUUUUAUAAACUUGUGAAAUGUUGAAAGGCCGGAGGCCUAAUUACAAUAUUCUCAUGACUUUUGAAAUGAGUAAAGAUGUAAAUUAUUUUGUCAUGUAUAUGAUAAGGCCGGAGGCCUGAUUACAGGUUUAUUUUAUGAUUUCUUGGCUUUAAUCAGGAUGUAUUAUGACAUAUACUUAUACAAAGGCCGGAGGCCUAUAGAUGAUAUUA